rnacentral:rRNA from 1 species
AGGGAAUCUUCCGCAAUGGGCGAAAGCCUGACGGAGCAACGCCGCGUGAGUGAUGAAGGUCUUCGGAUCGUAAAACUCUGUUAUUAGGGAAGAACAAACGUGUAAGUAACUGUGCACGUCUUGACGGUACCUAAUCAGAAAGCCACGGCUAACUACGUGCCAGCAGCCGCGGUAAUACGUAGGUGGCAAGCGUUAUCCGGAAUUAUUGGGCGUAAAGCGCGCGUAGGCGGUUUUUUAAGUCUGAUGUGAAAGCCCACGGCUCAACCGUGGAGGGCCAUUGGAAACUGGAAAACUUGAGUGCAGAAGAGGAAAGUGGAAUUCCAUGUGUAGCGGUGAAAUGCGCAGAGAUAUGGAGGAACACCAGUGGCGAAGGCGACUUUCUGGUCUGUAACUGACGCUGAUGUGCGAAAGCGUGGGGAUCAAACAGGAUUAGAUACCCUGGUAGUCCACGCCGUAAACGAUGAGUGCUAAGUGUUAGGGGGUUUCCGCCCCUUAGUGCUGCAGCUAACGCAUUAAGCACUCCGCCUGGGGAGUACGACCGCAAGGUUG